AUGCAUAAACGUAAGAAAUACAAGCUAUCUAGAAAGAAUUUUAAUAAGAGUACAUGCUUUCUUUACAGAAAGAAAAAGUCUUAUAGAGGAAGGAGAAAAAUGAAGAACAUAGCAGAUCUGAGAAGGACAGAGAACACAGACACAUCCUCCCACAUCCUGGUCACAGCUUUUGGCUUUUACAAAAUAACAAGGAAUGGAGCUAAGUGUCACCUGAGGGACGCUUGAGAAGGCUGUUUGGAAUGAGGACAGGCCAGGAGAGUGAUGACCAGAAUUUUCAUAUCAGCGGUGAUCCGCAGACAAAGCACCAACCUGCAGGUGAGUAUAUCUCACACCUAUAGUGCUAGGUGCUAUAAGAGCUAUUGACGAUUGGUUGUGCAGCCAUUCUACAUCUCAUGGGAAAAUAAUUCUGCUGAUCUGGCCCAUGUCAGUGGUCAAAAGCAAUACUCUUUUAUUUCUUGUAUAAUGACUUAGAGAUGAUCCAAAUAUUUUUACAUUUCUAUUCUGCCAUCAGUUAGAAAAGUAAAGCUUCUUUGCUUGAUCUAAACGCUCUCUCAUCACUUCAGUCUUCUGGGGCAUAUUUAUAUCAUUGAGUUGAAAUGCCUAUUUUUUUUUUUCAACUUCAGUUUCUGACAUCUUUUGGCUAUUCACUUGCUUCUAUGAGUCCACUGAAGCUCAGGCUUUUUUUUUUUUUUUUUUUUCUUUUCUUUCUUUUCUUUUUUUUUUUUCUUUUUUCCCCUCAAACAUAAUUGUUUCAUGGUGAUAUCUGACAAGGGCUUGGUAAAAAGACUGAUACUGGAAGUCUUAUGUCAGAUAAAGCAUGAUGUUUUAUCAUCUAAAAUUUCUGAUUCUGUGGAAACUGCAGAAGUCUGAAUCACCAUUAUUUUUACUUUUACUUCUUGGCACAUAUUUACCACUUACUUUCCCAUGCAGUUUGCCAGCAACUUUUUCUUAUAACUGUUAGCAACAUGGAGAUUGCAAGAGCCUACAGUUGCCUUUGCCUUCCUUUCAGAAAUCCAUGAAAUACAUUUCACAUUCUUGCAGGGAAAAUCUUUCUAAACAGAAAUUGAAGGAAGUAAAAGAGAGGGAAGUGCAGCUUUUUCCUGUUCUCUGCUUGGACAUAUAGCCCUGCUUUAUUGGUUCUCCUCCAGAACAUGUUCCCUGAGGAGACCUCCCCUCCUCUGUUGAAGUGAGAGCCAUCUCCUCCAUUCAGGAGGAAUAAGCCAAGGGUGGUCACAACACAGGCUGGGCAAUAACUUCACUUACAGUGAAAUGGCACAGAGCACCUGGGCUAGGAAUGCAGAGCAGGGUGGUGACAAGGACAGGUCCUGUUGAUAGGAUGACCAGGCAAAGCAAGGUGACAGCCAAGUGGAAAGGCAGUCUGGGAAGGUCAAGCAACAGUUUCGGAGCAGGCUUGGCAAAAAACUACAUCUAUGUUGUACCUCAGGCAAGGAGUGGGUGCCCAGGCCUGAGCUUAUUAAGCUCCUGAGCCCCUGGGCAGGGCUGUGUGGAGGACCCUGGUGGAGUGGUUAAGGUCUGUUAGUGUACUUAACGCCCAGACAGAACUUCAUAGCUUACAAUUCAGUAUGUGUUUCUCCUGCUUUGUCCAGCCUUUCCAUUCUUUUUUUCUCUGCCACCAAAAAUGAACUUGUACAGUGUCUCUGCACUUCUUGUCCUCUGCUCUUCAGCUCUGCCUUUCUUCACUGGUCUAAGACUUUUAAUACAAAGUGACAGCAUGAACAGUAAAACCUUGUUAUAACGUCACUUGAGGUUUGGAUAGAAAACAACAUUUAUUUUAACAAAUCCAUGACCUCGCAGCAAUUUUGCUGUUGGUACUGUGCUGCAUACCAUGGCUACUUGGAACUUCACAACCCCAGCAGACGCCUCUACUUCCCAGCUAUGGCUGCUUCCUCAAGGAAGACUAGAAUCUUAUUUGCUAAGGGAAUGAGGUUUAUGAUCACAGCUGAACCCAUCUGAUAUUCUCCAAUAGAAGGCAGGAGUGCACAUGCACUCAAUCAAAAUCAUUUUAAUAAAUCAUAGCCAAAGGGAGGGGGGGAAGAGGGC
rnacentral:lncRNA from 1 species